UGCCAAACUAUUCAAACAAUCUUCUCACUUUCUUAUUAAUGGAAGCGCUGGUACCUGGGUAUCCAAUCCAGUGCUCCUCAUUCGGCAUAGAGACUCAGCCUCAGUCCAACUUUGUACUGUUUUUUACCAAAAGGGACUCCAGAAGUUAAACUGUAGAGUCGAGAUGGAAACAACCGGAAAGG
rnacentral:rRNA from 1 species